rnacentral:ncRNA from 2 species
AGAGCAUUGAGAGGACCUUUCCCUAGUACAAGAGGACCGGGAAGGACGCACCUCUGGUGUACUAGUUAUCGUGCCCACGGUAAACACUGGGUAGCCAAGUGCGGAGCGGAUAACUGCUGAAAGAAUCUAAGUAGUAAGCCCACCCCAAAAUGAGUGCUCU